AAUUGAAGGAAGCAUGGUAAUGUGCACAGAAAUUGAUUUGGGUCAACAUGUCUGCCCCCUCUGAUGCCCAUGAUGAGGGGGCCUGGUUUUAUACCCACAUUU